GACGAACGCUGGCGGCGUGCCUAAUACAUGCAAGUAGAACGCUGAAGGAGGAGCUUGCUUCUCUGGAUGAGUUGCGAACGGGUGAGUAACGCGUAGGUAACCUGCCUGGUAGCGGGGGAUAACUAUUGGAAACGAUAGCUAAUACCGCAUAAGAGUAGAUGUUGCAUGACAUUUGCUUAAAAGGUGCAAUUGCAUCACUACCAGAUGGACCUGCGUUGUAUUAGCUAGUUGGUGGGGUAACGGCUCACCAAGGCGACGAUACAUAGCCGACCUGAGAGGGGGAUCGGCCACACUGGGACUGAGACACGGCCCAGACUCCUACGGGAGGCAGCAGUAGGGAAUCUUCGGCAAUGGACGGAAGUCUGACCGAGCAACGCCGCGUGAGGGAAGAAGGUUGUCGGAUCGUAAAGCUCUGUUGUAAGAGAAGAACGAGUGUGAGAGUGGAAAGUUCACACUGUGACGGUAUCUUACCAGAAAGGGACGGCUAACUACGUG
rnacentral:rRNA from 1 species